rnacentral:snRNA from 1 species
GUGUUUGCCUUGGCAGCAUAUAUGCAAAAAUUAGAAUAUCAAGACUGUUAGCAUCACCUCAGCACAAACAUGACAUGAAAAUUCAUGAAGCAUUCUGUAACUUU